UCCUGCGCGUGGCAGCUUGGGUUAGCGAUGAUGAGUGGCUAGACGGAUCGAGGCGGGAUGGAGGUAGCAGCUGAUGUGAUAGGGAGAUACAGAGGAGCGGCGUCCAUCCAAUCCUCCUGAUGCGAGGUGCACGCUUGGACCGGAGGUGCCGGGUCGAGGCAUGGAAGUCGAUGCGCGCGGUGGGACUGACCGGAGGAGCGAGAUCUGGGUCGCCGCCAUUCUCUGCGGCCGCUACCCCUCGCGGCACCGUCCUUGGAGCGCACGCACCACUGCCUCAGCUUGUCUUCCUUGCUCCACCAAUUUAUAACUCGUUGAAGACUCUCCGCCGCCGUUGUCUACAGUCUGACACGAUCCACUGCUCGGGCCGACAGCCAUGGAGGAGUACAUGGCGAGCAUGAAGGCAUUGAGCUGCAGGCAAAACAUGUGAGAAACGAGUCCGGGCAGCAUGCCAAAGGUGAGGGCGCACAUCAUCUGUGCCGCAAGGCCCAAUAUCUUCUCUAGUCCAAUUCACCCAACAAACAUUAAACCAAUGCGUGGCAUUUAUAAUUUAUCCCCUCCCUCUAUUUCUUGAUGUGGGUAGAGCUUUCCAAUGGGUUCGUUUUCUUGUAUAUAAACCAGAUUCACAUAGCUUGGAUAUGCAGCUGCUUGCAUAUACAACAAGGAAUAUUAUCAGGGAAGCUUUUGUGGCCAAAGCAUAUGAUUCUAUUUAGGUGGUUCGAGCACCACUGAGUGUGAUUACUUCUCAACUUCCUAUGCCCAUGUAAUGUGACUUAAGCAUCUACAACUAAUUUAUUUGUUUUCAUUAUUAUAUAUUUGAUUACAUGUCUAUUGGGCAUUUGGCUUUUUGAUUGCUUGUAGAACCAAUUGAGACAUCGAUGGAAAAUUUCAAGGAUUAUAUUAAGGAAGAUUGAAGUGAAAAGAAUUGAUGCAUGUCUCUUGGCCAUGAAGAGAAAUAUUAUGAGUCCUAGACUGGAGGAGCCAAAGUCUCCGAGGCAACCGUGAUAGAAGUUGAUCUCGAGGUGAUGCUUGCUAUGAAGGUUAGUUUGGCUCUUUCUUUGACUUUAUCUUGGAAAUUGCAAAAAUAUUGUGGUCAUUUUUUUUCUGACUUCGACCAAUUUGAAAGCAACACAUAAGUUAUAGUCUCGCCUAUAUUGUUAUGCUAACAUGGCUACAUGCAGCCAUGACCUCUUUUGGUGUCAUACAUAUUUGCACAAACCUCCUAUCGCAGUACUAAACUUUAAGGCCUCAGAGCGUAUACAUGACCUUUGGUUUUGGUGACUUAUCUUACAGCUAUAAUAGACAAAUUUCUAUAUGUUUUGCUGUAUGAUCAUCCCAAGAAGAAGUAACGAUUUUGAGUGCUAAUCCAGAAGCUUAAUUUUGUUAGUAUCCUUAAAUUCCAAACCCAUAUUCUAUUGAACUUCCAUGUUUCAUGCUGCACAUAUUUAUAGAAAUUCCUAUGAUCCAACCGGAAAAGUAGUUGGGCAUGGCAAUGUUGUGGUGUUUCUCUCAUCUGCUAUUUGCCCUGCAAGGUUACUAUGUUUGUCUCAAAUAAGCAAGCAAAUUUAUAAUCUUUAUUUUAGCUUAUAAGAUUUUCUCAUGCCAGUUUUCUAUUGAUUCAUACAAUGGUUGAUUCAGACCUCAUCUGAUACAAGAGAGCUAAUGCCAAGGAAAGUUAAUAAACCAACUAACAACAUAAACAUUUGCGUACAACCCUCGGUAUAAAUGUGAAUUAUGAUUUCUGUCAACUAACAAAUGGUUCAAGAUAAAGAGAUCAGGUUUUAUGGUUUGAAAUAUACAAAAAUAUUGAUUACAAAUUUGCAAUUGAAUAAUCAUGUUUGUUAUUACUUCUAUGUGGAGAUUAGUCUGAUAUCAUUGAUCAGAGGUACAGACAUACACGAUUCUUGUUGUAAAGCAGUGUACGAUGAAGACUUAGAUUCGACAAUUAUGUGAUCUGUCAUGUACUGUGCUAUGCAAAACGCAUAGCUUUGGACCCAACUUCUUUGGUUGAAUUAAUCCUCACAAUGGCGUUUCCACUUUAAUUUAUAAUUCUUGUGUUUCCUGCAUAUUCAUGUUUUAGGUUACUGCUUAAUGAAGGAUAGUUGUUGCUCCUAUGUUCAUAACCCAGUGGUGGCUAUAAAUCAAAGUGAGCUACAGACGGACACACGCAAUUGUAAGAAAGUAAAAUAGUACUGCCAGUCAAUAGAGUGCCUGCUUAGUAUCUUUCUGCCAUGGUUUACUACUUACUACCGAUUGGAGAAUCUCUUAUUUCAAAUUGCAAAGGAAACAUGCAUUAAAUAAUUUAUUUCAGUAUAUUUUAUCUUUCUCUAUAAUUUAUCAUGGGCGUCGGUGUCUCUCACGGAGUGAGGUGCCACUGAAGAACAACCAGACCGGAUUGGUGGUCGACGACAGAGGCAUAGCCUAAUGAUAUGCCUAGGUGUAAUCCCUUCUAGAAUUUUAUUACAUGCCAUAAUGCAUUGAUUUCUUUAUAUAAUAAAUGUUGUCAAAAAAUCUGAAAUAUUUGAACCGCCUAUAUUUAUUUUUGUUUUCUCAAAUAUUCCUAAUA